rnacentral:rRNA from 1 species
GCUGGCGGUAUGCUUAACACAUGCAAGUCGAACGGUAGCCACUUCGGUGGUGAGAGUGGCGGACGGGUGAGUAACGCGUAGGAAUCUGCCCUGUAGUGGGGGACAACGUGGGAAACCCACGCUAAUACCGCAUACGCCCCAAGGGGGAAAGCGGGGGACCGCAAGGCCUCGCGCUAUAGGAUGAGCCUGCGUUGGAUUAGCUUGUUGGUAGGGUAAAGGCCUACCAAGGCGACGAUCCAUAGCUGGUCUGAGAGGACGAUCAGCCACACUGGGACUGAGACACGCCCAGACUCCUACGGGAGGCAGCAGUGGGGAAUAUUGGACAAUGGGCGCAAGCCUGAUCCAGCAAUACCGCGUGUGUGAAGAAGGCCUGAGGGUUGUAAAGCACUUUCAAUGGGGAGGAAAAAGGCAGGCCAAAUACGCCUGCCCUUGACAUUACCCAUAGAAGAAGCACCGGCUAACUCCGUGCCAGCAGCCGCGGUAAUACGGAGGGUGCGAGCGUUAAUCGGAAUUACUGGGCGUAAAGCGUGCGUAGGCGGCCUGUUAAGUCAGAUGUGAAAGCCCUGGGCUCAACCUGGGAACGGCAUUUGAAACUGGCAGGCUAGAGUUGGGUAGAGGGGAGCGGAAUUCCGGGUGUAGCGGUGAAAUGCGUAGAUAUCCGGAGGAACACCAGUGGCGAAGGCGGCUCCCUGGACCCAAACUGACGCUGAGGUACGAAAGCGUGGGUAGCAAACAGGAUUAGAUACCCUGGUAGUCCACGCCGUAAACGAUGUCGACUAGCCGUUGGCCCCUAUUGGGGGUUAGUGGCGCAGCUAACGCAUUAAGUCGACCGCCUGGGGAGUACGGCCGCAAGGUUAAAACUCAAAUGAAUUGACGGGGGCCCGCACAAGCGGUGGAGCAUGUGGUUUAAUUCGAUGCAACGCGAAGAACCUUACCUACCCUUGACAUCCUCAGAAUUUGUCAGAGAUGACUUAGUGCCUUCGGGAACUGAGAGACAGGUGCUGCAUGGCUGUCGUCAGCUCGUGUUGUGAAAUGUUGGGUUAAGUCCCGUAACGAGCGCAACCCUUAUCCUUAGUUGCCAGCGGGUUAUGCCGGGAACUCUAGGGAGACUGCCGGUGAUAAACCGGAGGAAGGUGGGGACGACGUCAAGUCAUCAUGGCCCUUAUGGGUAGGGCUACACACGUGCUACAAUGGCCGGUACAGAGGGCUGCGAACUUGCAAAAGUAAGCCAAUCCCACAAAGCCGGUCCCAGUCCGGAUCGGAGUCUGCAACUCGACUCCGUGAAGUCGGAAUCGCUAGUAAUCGCGGAUCAGAAUGCCGCGGUGAAUACGUUCCCGGGCCUUGUACACACCGCCCGUCACACCAUGGGAGUGGGUUGCAAAAGAAGUGGGUAGUCUAACCUUCGGGGGGGCGCUCACCACUUUGUGAUUCAUGACUGGGGUGAAGUCGUAACAAGGUA